CAGUCGGAUACUUCUUAGUUCUUGUUGUAUAACCUCUCUCUACCCUUUGUAGUUUUCUUUCUCUUGCCGAACUUGAUAAGUAUGGGUUCAGCAACCUUCAUCGACAUCAUCAUCGCCAUCCUCUUGCCACCUCUUGGUGUCUUCCUCAAGUAUGAGUGUCGUGUGAGUGUUAAUUUCUCUUUCGAGUCCGUACUUUAUAGAUGUUGUUUGUCAUACAAACACUUAUUACAUACUAAAACUGCUUGAUUGUUGAUAAUCUGUCAUACAAACACGUAUUACGUACCAACACCGCUCGAAUCAUCAUGUCAGCGAAAUUCUAUAGAUGUAACAGUCAUACAGUGCUCGUAUAACAUCGUUGCCCUAAUUUGUAUAUGGUCUGUGUUUUUGUAUGUUUUGGAACCGAAUUUUCAUGCAGUUAUUUUUUAUGAGGAAUUUUGAUGUUUAUAUGUGGUGGAUUGAUGAUUUUCAGGCGGAAUUUUGGAUCUGUUUGGUGCUGACACUGUUUGGUUACCUCCCUGGUAUUAUAUAUGCCAUCUAUAUCCUCACCAAGUGAUCCUUUCAAUUUAUGUAAGCACCAACUUCUCUAUCGCUCAAAUAUUUCUUGUUUAUUUUUUUGUUGUAAAAGUGUGAUGCAGUAGAAAUAGGGGAUAGAGUGAAUUGGAGCCUCGAUAAUAAUCUUGUUAGAAAUUUCAACGGCUCUGUUUUGAAUUUGGAUAUGAAAAUGAAAGACUACGUAGAAAAAAAAAUAAAGUGCUUUUAAAAUGGAGCAUCGAUAAUAAUCUUGUCUUAGAAUUCAACCGGAUUUGUUUUGAAUAUAGAUAUGAAUUAUUCUAAUCUUUUUAAAGGAAUAAGACUGCCUGAUUGGUGAUUAAGCUAAUAUGCAUUUCUUAUUGGUUUAUCAACCCUACUAUGAUUUAGUUCGACAAAGAAAAAGAUGUGGGUCCACUUGAAAAUGACCUGCCCUAAUUUGAUAUAUGCCAUCUACGAGGGAAAAAGAUUUUUUCCGGAUUUUUUCUUCUAAAGUCUACUAAUUAAGUGAUCUGUACCUUUAAAAUUUGAUUUAACGGUAAAAAAAUAUUAUCAUAUUUUUUACUUUUUUUACUAGUUUCUUUGUUUGUAAUCCUUAGAUUAAAUUUUAAGGGUCUAGAUCACUUGAUCAUUGGGUUUUGGAGGAAGAUCACUUGGUCAUUGGGUUUUGGAGGAAGAAAUCCGAAGAGGAUCUCUUUCCAUUUACGAGUAGUUUGUUAUAUGCUUCACAAAGAAGGAUUAAUGACUCAUUUAACUUUCUGAUCCUUUUUAUCUUUCUUAUCGAGCAGGUGGUAAAGGAUGUGUUUCGAAGGGCAGCUAUGUCUCUUUGUUUAGGUAUCAAGGGUUUGUUUUCAACCGUUUGAUGGAUUGUACUUAUCUGGUGUAGCCAAAUGGAUGGUUGAUACUUCAUUUAUGUAGUGUGUAUCUACUGUCAUUGUUCAUUGUAUUUUUCCUAUUUUUGUUUCUUUCAUUUUGAUUUGAAUAAAUGCCUCAUAUAGUCCUAUCAUAUUUGACUAUUUCCAGCAAAAUACAAGGGGGACCACUGGGAGCACUGGGUUAUUCGGGUCGUGUGCAUACAUUGCCCUCCGUGUAGCUCCGUUAUUAUUACAUGUGACAUCUUUUAAACAAUUAACUUAAUGAAUAAAUUAUAAACUAUAGUGGAGUAAAAAUCACAUGAUAUUGUUUGUUCAUAUAACUCGUGCUUGUAGCAUUUGCAAGGCUAUAAAGUUAUUUACAAUCAAUGUUAUGCUAUAUUUUGCCCCACGACUAAAAGGGGGGACGGCCAUGUUGUCCUUUAGUCAAUUCUACAACCACGACUAAAAUUUUGUCCCACUCGCCUCUACAUUGCAAUAUACUGCUCUACCAUAAGCAGACAACGCUAUUAAAAUUUGAUCUUCUCCAAUUCCAUGUCCUAACAAGGGGCAACCCUUUUGUUUCGAUGAUUUUAGAUCUUUCUAGUCCAUCCCUUAAACCAAAACACAUUUGGCCUCCCGGUCCGGGCUCAAAUUUGAAAGAACCAGAUUGAAACCGGUUAAAAAUGAAAUAGAACGGGCCGAGCCGGGUUUUGAGAAUUUUAAAUUUAAAACCAAACCUAACCUGACCUGUUUCAAACGAUCUGAUUCGAGCUGGUUUCACGGGUCGGAGUACAAAUUUUUUUUUAGGUCAGCAAGCACAUAUGGGAGCCAUGGGAUGACCAGCGUCCGAAGGCCAACUCUCCACCUUUGCAAUCAAGAGAGAAAAAGAUCUGCGAGGUCUGCCGAAUUUCCACUAGGAUCUUCUGCUAAUCGGACCGAGCGAUAUUGUGUGCUGGAAUUGCGACACCAAGGUCCACGGCGCCAAUUCCGGAGCCUCUCUGCCACGGGUGCCAAUGACCCUGUCUCUUCAACCAAAUGGUUGAAGAUAUGAUCAAGUUCUCAACAAAUUUUCUUCAACCGAUGGCUCUUGUGGGGAGAUUAACUUUCUCUCUUCCCAACUCAAGCUAGCCAAUGUGAAAAGGACAUUAACUAACUCUCACUUUCCAACCAAAAAUAGCAGAUGUGGCAUAUAUGAUAUAGCAUGUGGGUCAUUUGUCUUCUUGUUUUCUAGCUACGUUUUUUGACAGCAAACAAAGAAAGAGUCCAAUGUAUUUAAUUUAAUUUUUUUAAUGUAUGAGUCUCAUUAACAACUAAUAGAAUACAAACUAAAAUUAAUUUUGAUUAUUUUUAGGGGUCUUUUGAUAUGGGUCUAAUUGGACUAAAAAUUAGACCUAUUUCAAAAGUCAAAAGUCACUAAAAAUUAGAUCUAUUUCAAAAGAUAGACUAUAAAAUUGGACAUCUUUCAAAUUUCCCCUAUUUAUUAAUAGUUAAUGUAACUCUAGGCUCAAUAAAAUAAUAAAAUAAAUAUUUGAGACAUCCAUUGGAAGAAAAGAAGAUUUAGCACUUGUAUUCAAUUUGACACCUCAACCAUCAAAUAAAAUGUUGACAUACUAUAUUUAACAUAUCAUUUGAAGAUGCUCUUAUACACCAAGCACCUGUCUUGGUGAUUUUAUAUUAUAUUAAUUUUAUAACUUUACAAGCUCAGCUACACUUUUCGAUGUGCAAGAGUUGUGCAUUGUUCAAGAUGGAAUUAGAAGAAACAAGUUGGGACUUAGUAAACGGUCCGGGUUCCUCAAAAUCUAUUACCCACCUUGCCCCGGUAAUUACAUGGACCCGUCCCGCCCCGGCCUAUUUUAAAUUUUGAUUUUUUUAACCCGUCUCGUACCCAGCCCGAACUGCAUAAAUCCGUCCCGACCUGGAGAUUUAGGACCCGUUUGCCCACCCUUAAUUUGGCCAGCUAAUCAAACGAACAAAUGGGAUUAUCUCAUUGGGUAAAAUGUGAAUCAAAAGUCCAAAACCAUAAUCUAAUACCAAUCUAUUGUCUUGGGAUUGGCUUUUACUCAAACCCAUGAGCCCUCAUUAUCUGUCGCAUAUGGUAAGACUGUCAAGUCUUCAAAAUGUAUGGUUCGGAGUUCCGACUUCGAAAUUGAAGACGGCUGCCUCACGUGCCUAGCACGUGCAUUUGGAUCACUCCUUGUAAUUUGUGGGCUAUAUACUUCAAGCCACCAUCGCCGCCGUUGCUUCAGUACACGUAGUGCAGUGGCAACUUACGGGCGGUUAGAUUUUCCUGACAGCCUCUUGCUCUUAAUUAACCUUUACCCGCCAUUUCAUGCUUAUGGGAACCAAGCCCCCCCACCCCACCCCACCCCACCCUAUCAAAUCAAGUCGAUGAAUGUUAUUAUUGCAAUUUGCAACACAUGUGAUGAUGUGAGCUUUCUAUAUCUAUCUAUUCUAUAUUAUUAAGGGAACAUUCAUUGUCAACUUUUUUUAUUUUUUAUUUUAUUUUAGGGAACUUUAACGAAAAGCACUCGGUACUGUUCAUUUUAACGAAAAACCUCAUUUUUACACUAAAAAGUCAAUCCUGAUACUAUUCACUUUACCCUUUAUUUUGUCCUUAUUAUUAAAACUCAAAGUUUUCAAGCCAUUUUCAUUAUUUUUCCUUUUAUUUUAUUGUGUUCUUACUUUUUAUACACAUUAUUGACAAAAAAGAAAGGUAAAAUAGUAAUUUUACACUUUUUGACAAAAUGACAAUCAUAUUUCUAUUUUUACUAUUUUAUCCUUUUUUUUUAGAAAAUGACAAUCAUAUAGUUAUUUUUCAAUUUUACCCUCACUUUUGAUACACAAUAUUUAUAUAAAGAUGACAAAAUAGAAAAAAAAUAGGAAAAAAAGUUGACAAGGAGGCGUCUCUUAAUAACACUUUUGAUACACAAUAUUUACAUUAGAAUGACAAAAUAGGAAAAAAAAAGGGAAAAAGUUGACAAUGAGGCUUCUCUUAAUAAUAGUAUAGAAAAAAAUAUGCACUUAUUAAGAGAAAGGGGAAAAAAGUUGACAAUGAGGUUUCUCUUAAUAAAACUUUUAAUACACAAUAUUUACAUAAAGAUGACAAAAUAGGAAAAAGAAAAAGGGAAAAAUUGACAAUGAGGCUUCUCUUAAUAAAAGUAUAGAAAAAAAAUAUGCACUUAUUAAGAGAAAUGUUCACACACACACAAAGCGUGUGCUCUCUGCUAGUUAUAAUGGAUAGAACUUCGCUGUUGAAAAGAUCAGCAGCCAAGUCCAGUUCUAUUAUAAUAUAGAAUGAUGCUAUCAACACAUCCCUAUUUACGAGAAAAUUUUAAUGUAUCAAGAUUACAGUUUGAUAUACCAAGUGUCAUAAUAUAAGUGGUAGCAUUUUAUUUUUUCAACUAUCUAAUCACUUAGUCUUGUAUUGUGACGCUUGGGGGGGGGGGGGGGAGGGGUGUAUUGUGACACUAAAAAAUCUCUCAAAUUCCCUUUGAUUAUUUAACUUUUUCAAAUUCUUUAAAAUCAAAUUCUAAUUCAAUACACUUGGAAUGUUAUAAAUUUCUUUAAAAUUUUAAUUGAAUACACCCGGAUUUCUAAGGAUUUUAAUAAACUAUCUUAAAAUCAUGAUCGAAUGCACAUUGAAUUUCAGAGAAUCACUUAAAUUUCUGAUUGAACACUCAUAUAUUCAUUAAAAUAAUUAAAAUCCCUUAAAUUCUCAAUUGAAUACACCCCCGUGAUAUACCAGGCCAUGCUCCAUGACACACUGAAAAGUCUUUCAUUUUUAUCUCUCAUACACCUUCUGUUAAUUGUUGUUCUUUAAUACUCUUGAAUCAUUCGAUUUAACGGCCGAAAAUUAGAAAAUCUGUAGGAAAGGUAAAAAAGAAUGUGUGGAUACACCAACAUAUAUGUAUCACACCAUUAUAGGUAAAGUUAGGUGCAACGAGUUUGCUGUCACUUACUCAAUAUGGCUUUCUAGACCACUAAUAUAAGUUUUGGAAUAAUGCUAGAGAUAUCAAAAUUUUGAACUAAAUGAUGUAGUUGUUGAUAACUGAAUUAUUGUUAAAGUGUUGAUUAAUGCGCUUAUUGCUUAUUGGUGACACGUCAUUUAAAUCGUAAAUUUAAUUUCAAAAUUUGAUCUUGUAACAUUAUAACAGCCAUGACAUGAGUUUGAGAGUCACGCAAAAUAUCAAUUGAUAGUCACAAUACCAUAAGUCAUAAGUUUCCUGUUUUAUCCUUUUACAAAAUACUUAGUUUUAUCCUUUUAUAAAAUACUUACUUUUUCAAACUAAAAACGCAUCCGUAAUUCAAAUGUGAAAAAAAAAAAAAAACAUAAAAUUUUGACAAUUCAAAGAAAUUCCAAGUUCAAAAAUUAAAAAACUUUGCAAUAACUUAUUAACAUUUAAAUUACGUUUUCUGUUGCAAAUUUAAACUUCAAUUUUUUUCGCGAUAUAAAUACGUAAAGAUCGACAACCUACCUGAAAUUUCUAUCUUCAUUUUGGAGGACUCAAUACUUAGAUAUUUUAUUAUGCAUCUGGAGGGUCCUUGUUAAGAACAAAGUUUAAAGGGUAAAUUAUAUUUUACCCUAUCAGGUUUGGGGUCGAUUUCAAUUUCUUACAAUAUCUUUAAAACAUUUCAAUUUCAUACAUCUGUUAAAAAAUCCGUUAAGUAAACCGUUAAGUGAUGACGUGACAAAGAUGGAAUCCACUUUUGUGUUGACGUGGCUGCCAAAUUUGUGCCACGUGACAAUUAUUUAUUUAUUUUAUAUACAUUAAAAUUUAUAAUAAUCUAUCUUAAUAUUAAAAAAAUAAAAAUAAAAACCCAUCUUCUUCCCUGAGCCCUUACCCUUCCUUGCAACCUAAACACCCAAUCCCACCCCACCCCCACCCCCAACCCCGCCACCAAGCCUAUUCCCCAUCCAUAAAACCUAGCCCAUUCCCCUUCCCCAAAACCCCCAAAGUUUCAUCCAUCUCACCUACCCAACCCUCCCUCCCUUCUCUCUCCACAGCCACCACUCAGAAUGCUAACCCGGAUUGGAAAACCCGAUCUGGCGCAAACUCUUGUUUGAGCCAUUGCUUACGCCGCUGGUCUCUCUAGAGAAGAUGACGGUGUUUCUCGAACUAGAUGACACAUUGGCGCACGCACAGGCCGAUCCACUACUGGAGAAAUUCGAUUUCAUAUUGCGGCCGAGGAUCGACGAAAUUUAGGGGCAAAGAGUGGGUGCAAAGGAGAUAAGAAGGGCAUGGACUUUUAGGGGUUUUGGGAAGGUGAAAAGGCUUAGUGGCGGGGUGGGUAUCAGGAAAGGGAAGAGGAAUGUGGGUGGGUUAAUCACAUUUAAAGGCAAUAAUAGAGCAGCAGAAGCACACAAACCUUCAAACCCAAAACCAAAAGGUGUGAUGCAGGAACACUUCACUAGUGUUGGGCACGGGCCGGCCGGGCCAGGCCCAAUUUUAGAGGAACCAUACCUUACUUGUUUUAAAUAGUAACAAGGCGGGGCGGGCUAAGUAGAGAGAUUUUGAGUUUUGGAAUUGGACUUAACCCGGCCCGUUUGAAACUAGCAUAUUCGGGGCAGGUCCACAGGUCCAACCUUUUUUUUUUAAUACAUCAUUUUAUAAAAUGGCGUUACAAUGUGCCACUGCACUACAGUGCACAACAACACAGAUUACACUUACACUUAUAGAAGUAUUAAAGCACAGAUUGUUGAAGCAUAAAUGUGCACAUCAGCACAUAUUAAUAUAAUCCCAAAUCACUUACACUCGAGUUGUUAAUAUAAUUCCACAUCAGCACAUAUUAAUAUAAUCCCACAUCAGCACAUAUUAACAAUGGUUAAAUUCCCAAACUGAUACUAGUUGAUGCUUAAUCCCAGAUUUCGACCCCUUCCACCCAAAUCAUUUGAACAAAAGAUUUAAAAUUGGAACAUAACAAGAUUUCAAAACCCAACAAAAUCUUUAAAUCUAGAAAACCUUAAUUUAAUUUUAAAUCCUAAAUCCCUAAAACAUAAUACCUUAAAACUGAAAAGGACUGUUAGUAGAGCUCGACUGCGCUGCAAAUAUGAGUCUGAGUCAGAUGGAGGAGAUGAUUGAUUCGUCAUUUCGAGUUGUUCGACUUCGUCGUUCGUCCCUUAGAGUUGACAGAGAUAGAGACUGAUUUCGAGAGAGUGAGUGAGAGAAAGACAUAAUAGCAACGAUUUAAGGUUACAUUAGAAAUCAAUGAGCUCCAGAUCAUCGAUCAUGAUUGCAUUCCCUAUCCCAAUUCCUUGCAUGCAUUCAAAAAUUGAAGCCACAUAAAACAAAGAAAUUCGCUAUAAAUUGAAUGAAAAAAAAAGGAGAAAGGAUUUUAGUUUCCCUAGAUCGAGGUCUGAUGAUGGCGGCGAGGAACGAAGCUGAUGAUGACGGCAGCAGAUGAAGCUGGGACAGUGAGAACGAGUCGGGAUGAGAGAUCGAGUUGGGAAAAAGGAAAACUGAGUGACUCUUUUCUGAGUAUAUGAAAACUAAGAAGACUGAAAUGAGGAUAAAACCAAUUAUUCCUUGCUAGAAAUGGGCAGGGCCGGGGGCCCGUUCCCUCCUAUUUCUAGAACCGCCCCGCCCCAUUUUGGGUUUCAAAUUUAGGAUCUGCCCCUUACCCUCCCCGACCUGCGAGUCUAGGAUCAGUUUGCCCACCCCUACACUUCACCAUCAGGGUGAGAAGAUGAUUGGUGGGAACGUGAGUGGGGUGAGGGAGGGUGGGUCGCGGGGGGUAGGUGGGUUUUGGUUUUUUUUUCUUUAAUUAAUUAUUUUUAAACUUGUAAAAUUUUUUUUGCCACGUGGCACAAUUUUGAUAGCUACGUUAGCUCUUAAUGGAUCAAUGAAUGGAAAAUGUAACAGAUGUAUUAUAUUGAAAUAAAAUAGUAGGUGAGAUAUGAGAGUGAAAGUGUUUGAAGGUAUUAUAUGAGAUUGCAAUAUAUCUCAAAUAGUUAAAGUAAUCAUGUCGGCACAUACAACACACCAGACGCACAUAUGAAACCAACACGUGUCAUCUUACCCAUUUUUAAAACGUAGCUGUAUAAUCCAUUUUCCUUUAUUCGGAAACAAAAAUAAUUAUAUUGUAUGUGCACCCAAUGGUUAGCCUCCACGUGGUUCCUUCAGCAGCAGAAGUUGCACCUCUUUAUAUAUCCUUUGCAGUUUCCGUCAAAGCAAUCGGAUACUUCUUAGUUCUUGUUGUAUAACCUCUCUCUGCCCUUUGUAGUUUUCUUUCUUUUGUAGUUUUCUUUCUCUUAUCAAACUUGAUAAGUAUGGGUAGAGCAACCUUUCUCGAAAUCGUCCUCGCCAUCCUCUUGCCACCUCUUGGUGUCUUCCUACAGUAUGAGUGUCGUGUGAGUGUUAAUUUCUCUUUCGAGUCCGUACUUUAUGGAUGUUGUCUAUCAUACAAACAUGUAUUACAUACUAAAACUGCUUGAUUGUUGAUAAUCUGUCAUAUAAACACGUAUUACGUACUAACACUGCUCGAAUCAUCAUGUCAGCGAAAUUCUAUAGAUAUAACAGUCAUACAGUACUCGUAUAACAUCGUUACCCUAAUUUGUAUCUUGUCUGUGUGUAUGUGUGUUUUGGAACCGAAUUUUAAUGCAGUUAUUUUUUAUGAGGAAUUUUGAUGUUUAUAUGUGGUGGAUUGAUGAUUUCAGG
rnacentral:lncRNA from 1 species